rnacentral:rRNA from 1 species
CAAUAGCGUAUAUUUAAGUUGCUGCAGUUAAAAAGCUCGUAGUUGGAUUUCGGGUGGGAAUGGCCGGUCCGCCGUUUCGGUGUGCACUUGCUACGCCCACCUUGCUGCCGGGGACGUGCUCUUGAGUUCACGCUCGGGACACGGAGUCGGCGAGGUUACUUUGAGUAAAUUAGAGCGUUCAAAGCGGGCCUACGCUCUGAAUACAUUAGCAUGGAAUAACACGAUAGGACUCUGGCCUAUCUUGUUGGUCUGUAGGACCGGAGUAAUGAUUAAGAGGGACAGUCGGGGGCAUUCGUAUUUCAUUGUCAGAGGUGAAAUUCUUGGAUUUAUGAAAGACGAACUACUGCGAAAGCAUUUGCCAAGGAUGUUUUCAUUAA